rnacentral:rRNA from 1 species
UACGGUAGGGGCUAGCGUUGUCCGGAAUCAUUGGGCGUAAAGCGCGUGUAGGCGGUUCGGUAAGUCCGCUGUGAAAGUCGAGGGACUCGAACCCUUGAAACGCCGGUGGAUACUGUCGGGCUAGAGUGCGGAAGAGGCGAGUGGAAUUCCUGGUGUAGCGGUGAAAUGCGCAGAUAUGCGGAGGAACACCGAUGGCGAAGGCAAUCCCCUGGGCCUGCACUGACGCUCAUGCACGAAAGGCGUGGGGAGCAAACAGG